UCACCUGCAGUUGGCGUCGGUCCAGGAGAUGAGGGUGUGCUGACUUACUUACAGGUGGUGGAGUUUAAUAGGAGGACUAAAGCCACAGUGGCACAUGACGUGGACACUGUUUCUGCCUAUUCUUAUACAGGGACAUCUUGGGUCGGGUACGAUGAUGCCCUGUCGACAACAGCAAAGGUUUUGUUUGCUCAGGCACUUGGACUUCGUGGGUACUUCUUUUGGGCAGUUGGCUACGAUAAUGAUUGGACAAUAACCGGGCAAGCUUCAAGUUCGUGGAUCCUUGACAAAUGAACAUUGUUUGGCCUGCUUUCGAUUGCAGAGCAAGUACUCGUGGAGUAAAAUUUAGUGCAGAGCCAUACUGCCAUCGUAUUUGUCGUAAAAUAAAACUACAGAUUUCCAGCGGGAUUCUAGUCAAUGACAUCUACGUUCUUUCCUCUGCUUGGUGUCCAAACUAUAUUCAAGUAUCAGAUUUCAGCUUCAUUGCGUGUUGUAAUCUAAGAGCAUUGGGGUCCAUUUAUUUUUCUUGACACGCUUUUCACACAUCCUCAUAGAGAUUGAGAAAGGGCUUUCAAACUGUGCAGAGAAUCAA